rnacentral:rRNA from 1 species
CACGUAGGGGGCAAGCGUUGUCCGGAUUUAUUGGGCGUAAAGAGCUCGUAGGCGGCUCAGUAAGUCGGGUGUGAAACCUCCAGGCUCAACCUGGAGACGCCACCCGAUACUGCUGUGGCUUGAGUCCGGUAGGGGAGCGUGGAAUUCCUGGUGUAGCGGUGAAAUGCGCAGAUAUCAGGAGGAACACCGGUGGCGAAGGCGGGUCUCUGGGCCGAUACUGACGCUGAGGAGCGAAAGCGUGGGGAGCGAACAGGA